ACUUAAGUAGUUUAGAAAAAAUUUUGGUUUGUGGAAUCAAGGAAGCUUAGGAUGCCUUAGGUA
rnacentral:tRNA from 1 species